GGACGAACGCUGGCGGCGUGCUUAACACAUGCAAGUCGAGCGAUGAAGUCCCUCGGGACGGAUUAGCGGCGGACGGGUGAGUAACACGUGGGUAACCUGCCUCAUAGAGGGGAAUAGCCUUCCGAAAGGAAGAUUAAUACCGCAUAAGAUUGUAGUUUCGCAUGAAACAGCAAUUAAAGGGGUAAUCCGCUAUGAGAUGGACCCGCGUCGCAUUAGCUAGUUGGUGAGGUAACGGCUCACCAAGGCGACGAUGCGUAGCCGACCUGAGAGGGUGAUCGGCCACAUUGGGACUGAGACACGGCCCAGACUCCUACGGGAGGCAGCAGUGGGGAAUAUUGCACAAUGGGGGAAACCCUGAUGCAGCAACGCCCGCGUGAGUGAUGACGGUCUUCGGAUUGUAAAGCUCUGUCUUCAGGGACGAUAAUGACGGUACCUGAGGAGGAAGCCACGGCUAACUACGUGCCAGCAGCUGC
rnacentral:rRNA from 1 species